rnacentral:rRNA from 1 species
CCUACGGGAGGCAGCAGUAGGGAAUCUUCCACAAUGGGCGAGAGCCUGAUGGAGCAACGCAGCGUGGGUGAAGAAGGUCUUCGGAGCGUAAAACCCUGUUGUUAGAGAAGAAAGUUCGUGCGAGUGACUGUUCACGUUUCGACGGUAUCUAACCAGAAAGCCACGGCUCACUACGUGCCCGCAGCCGCGGUAAUACGUCGGUGGCAAGCGUUAUCCGGUUUUAUUGGGAGUAAAGGGAACGCGGGUGGUCUUUUAAGUGUGUUGUGAAAGCUUUCGGCUUAACCGGUGUAGUGCAUUUGAAACUGGGAGACUUGAGUGCAGAAGAGGAGAGUGGAACUCCAUGUGUAGCGGUGAAAUGCGUAGAUAUAUGGAAGAACUCCAGUGGCGAAAGCGGCUUUCUGGUCUGUAACUGACGUUGAGGUUCGAAAGCGUGGGUAGCAAACAGGAUUAGAUACCCGGGUAGUC